CGCUUCUCCAUUGUGCAAAUACCCCGUAGUUGUGAGCAAAGUGACCCCAGCAUUUGCAGCCAGAUAGAUGCCUUUUCGGUGACCUUACCGUGCCGACGGACCCUAAUUCUCCUCUGCCGUGGAUUGUAAUUGCAGCACAGAACAUGAGGAAGAAGAAGAGGACAUUGCAGAAGACGUGUACACAACAACACCCGAACUGCUUGACGUGUCCGAUGAUCAGGGCAUGAUGGAAAUGCUCCCAAGGAGUCGGAUCGAUGCAUCCGAGGGGGAGUCAGAGCCUUGCUUGUUGAGCUCCGACUCUCUUCCUGCACAGUUCCACUCUUCACCAUCUCGUUCAGCACUUCCUGCCUCUCCUGACUCCUCCAACUUCAACAGGGUGUACAGUGUCGUGGGCUCACCACGACAGUUUGAGGCAGGCGUGUUUGCCUCGACCGAAUCCCUCGGCACGCCGAUGGACAUUGAAUUGCGUGAUGCUGGUCUCGGAGGAGUUUGGGCAAGGUGUCACUUGGAACCCGGUCGACAAUUUGAGCCGAGCGAUGAACAACACGGCCUUUUGGACAGGGAUGGAUCAAGGCGCUGGCAGCAGAGACAGAUCAGAUGUGGCUUUCUCCCUGCUGACUCCUUGAAUCCAUUUCCUGUAUGUUCUUGCCCACCGAAGCAUUUCAAGUUCAUCGGGUUACCUGCAGGCAAUUUGGAAAAGCUGCUGUUCUUAGCGAGGGUUCGGAAGGCAUCCAGAAAGCAUCUCAGUCACCCCUCCCCUACCCCCUUCCCUCUCCCAUUCCUAACCUUGGCCCCUCCUUUUUGUAUAUUUACCGUCCCUGGACAUUAUCUCCAGAUCACAACCUGUUGCCUCUUAUAAAGUUUCCAGAUAAAUGUCAACAACACUCCCCCCCCACCCCUUUUUGGUAUUUGUGCUCAAUUUUUUUUUUAUUACUUCUCAUCUUUGUGUUCUCUCUUAAUGUUGUCCUUUUGCAUUCAACUUUUUAUUUUUUUUAAUUUUUUUUUACAAAAGUCCUUUGCUUUUUAACUUACAAAUACAAGCUUUCCGACCAGUUGCACUCCCUUGCACUUUGAAUUUCUAAUUUUCC
rnacentral:lncRNA from 1 species